UACGUAGGGUGCAAGCGUUGUCCGGAAUUAUUGGGCGUAAAGAGCUCGUAGGCGGUCUGUCGCGUCUGCUGUGAAAACUCAGGGCUUAACCCUGAGCUUGCAGUGGGUACGGGGCAGACUAGAGUGCGGUAGGGGGAGACUGGAAUUCCUGGUGUAGCGGUGAAAUGCGCAGAUAUCAGGAGGAACACCGGUGGGCGAAGGCGGGGUCUCUGGGGCCCGAUACUG
rnacentral:rRNA from 1 species